UACAGAGGAGCCAAGCGUUGUCCGGAUUGACUGGGCGUAAAGCGCACGCAGGCGGACGCGCGCGUGGGGUGUGAAAUCUGGCCGCUUAACGGCCAGGCGCCAUCCCAUACGGCGGGUCUGGAGCCUUGCAGAGGUCGGUGGAAUUGCCGGUGUAGUGGUGAAAUUCGUAGAUAUUCGGAGGAACACCAGUGGCGAAGGCGGCUCACUGGUCCGGUACUGACGCUGAGGUGCGAAAGCGUGGGGAGCAAACAGG
rnacentral:rRNA from 1 species